GUCUCAGUAACACAAUGGAUUGCACUUUGAACUUCUAAUCCAAGGUCGUGGGAUCAAAUCCCACCUGGGAUG